rnacentral:rRNA from 1 species
UACGGAGGGUGCAAGCGUUAUCCGGAUUCACUGGGUUUAAAGGGUGCGUAGGUGGCGCCGUAAGUCAGGUGUGAAAUUUCGGAGCUUAACUCCGAAACUGCAUUUGAUACUGCGGUGCUUGAGGACUGGAGAGGAGACUGGAAUUUACGGUGUAGCAGUGAAAUGCGUAGAGAUCGUAAGGAAGACCAGUGGCGAAGGCGGGUCUCUGGACAGUUCCUGACACUGAGGCACGAAGGCCAGGGGAGCAAACGGG